GACGUAGGGCGCGAGCGUUGUCCGGAUUUAUUGGGCGUAAAGAGCUCGUAGGCGGCUUGUCGCGUCGUCCGUGAAAACCCACAGCUCAACUGUGGGCUUGCGGUCGAUACGGGCAGGCUAGAGUUCGGUAGGGGAGACUGGAAUUCCUGGUGUAGCGGUGAAAUGCGCAGAUAUCAGGAGGAACACCGGUGGCGAAGGCGGGUCUCUGGGCCGUAACUGACGCUGAGGAGCGAAAGCGUGGGGAGCGAACAGG
rnacentral:rRNA from 1 species